GGCUCUCUCUCUCUCUCUUCGAUCCCUUCCCCAAGCACACACCAUCAGCUCCAACACCACCAUCUGGCGAGUCGCCGGAACCUCCAGGUAACCACCAGGUAAGUACCCCUACCCCACCUUCGCCCCCCUUACCCCACUGCCUGGAACACUGUUCCGACAGUGUUUCGACAUCCCUCGGGGGUUUCUUUGACUCACCUCCCACACCAUCGUGACACACAGUGUCAGUAAGUACCCCUAUCCCACCUUCGCCCUCCUUACCCCACUGCCUGGAACACUGUUCCGACAAUGUUUCGACAUCCCUCGGGGGUUUCUUUGACUCACCUCCCACACCAUCGUGACACACAGUGUCAGGCGCACAUUUCCUGCAAAUUUCGUUGCCGGAAACAGCCGCACGCGCCGCCCACGCGCUGCCCCUGUCCUCCACGCGCCGCGCGCGUGUGCCCACUUCCUGGCACUUUUUCCACCGGCUUCUUUUGGACAGUUUUCUCCCCCCCC
rnacentral:lncRNA from 1 species